GCAGCAGCCGCGGUAAUACGAAGGGUGCAAGCGUUACUCGGAAUUACUGGGCGUAAAGCGUGCGUAGGUGGUGGUUUAAGUCCGUUGUGAAAGCCCUGGGCUCAACCUGGGAACUGCUUCUGAGACUGAACGACUAGAGUACGGUAGAGGGUGGUGGAAUUUCCGGUGUAGCGGUGAAAUGCGUAGAUAUCGGAAGGAACAUCAAUGGCGAAGGCAGCCACCUGGGCCUGUACUGACACUGAGACACGAAAGCGUGGGGAUCAAACAGGAUUAGAUACCCGAGUAGUCCCUGUCUCUUAUAC
rnacentral:rRNA from 1 species